UACAGAGGGGGCAAGCGUUAUUCGGAAUUAUUGGGCGUAAAGAGCUCGUAGGCGGUCUGUUGCGUCGGCUGUGAAAACCCGGGGCUCAACUCCGGGCCUGCAGCCGAUACGGGCAGACUAGAGUUCGGCAGGGGAGACUGGAAUUCCUGGUGUAGCGGUGAAAUGCGCAGAUAUCAGGAGGAACACCGGUGGCGAAGGCGGGUCUCUGGGCCGAUACUGACGCUGAGGAGCGAAAGCGUGGGGAGCGAACAGG
rnacentral:rRNA from 1 species